UACAGAGGGUGCAAGCGUUAAUCGGAAUUACUGGGCGUAAAGCGCGCGUAGGUGGUUCGUUAAGUUGGAUGUGAAAGCCCCGGGCUCAACCUGGGAACUGCAUUCAAAACUGACGGGCUAGAGUAUGGUAGAGGGUGGUGGAAUUUCCUGUGUAGCGGUGAAAUGCGUAGAUAUAGGAAGGAACACCAGUGGCGAAGGCGACCACCUGGACUGAUACUGACACUGAGGUGCGAAAGCGUGGGGAGCAAACAGG
rnacentral:rRNA from 1 species